rnacentral:SRP_RNA from 1 species
AGGCGGGGCUUGCGCGGCGGAAGGCUUCGAAUCAGGUCAGGACCGGAAGGGAGCAGCCUUAAGGGGUUACUUUCGGGUGACGUGGGAUUUCCUGGAAGGA